rnacentral:lncRNA from 1 species
CAGGCUUGGACACGCACACAUCUCCUCCUGUAGCGGCCGCCACACUGGGCUUCUCCCAGGACAUGGCAGCUAGUCACGGUGCACGGAGCCCUCCCAUCCACCCUGGAAACCUGCAACGCCCCUGCCUUCCUCCGAGCAACCCCCCUCAAGCUGUUCUUCCUUCGGGAAUCACAGACAAGGACCUGCUCUGCACCCCCUCCCUCACCAUCCUAAAGAAAGAAACGGACUGACCGUUGGAGGAAAGGAAGACGAUACCCACAGAGCAUUACUCGCAGGUGACCCCUUCGCCUUCCUUUCGGGAUGUGUUUUGGAGGCACACCUCGGCUGCACGGGACCCUCGUCCUCCACCCGCGCCCCACCCCCACGGCCACCCCGGAUGCACGCCGCCCGCACACCCCGCCAGCUCCCAGCUGUGAAAUAUUUCCAGGUGUUUCCCACUUUCAUUAAGUAAUGCCAAAACGAGCAUCUGUGCAGAAAGCAUUUUCUGUAAUUAGAUUUAUGUCCUUGGGACAGAAUCCCAGAAGUGAAAUUAGCGGGUGGAGGCACAGACAUUUGGAAGGUUCUUAAUAAAUAUGUUCACGUCUGUCUCUAGCCGUGACCUUCCUGCCA